rnacentral:rRNA from 1 species
CAGCAGCCGCGGGAAUACGUAGGGUGCAAGCGUUGCUCGGAAUGACUGGGCGUAAAGGGCGCGUAGGCGGUUUUGACAGUCAGAUGUGAAAUUCCUGGGCUUAACCUGGGGGCUGCAUUUGAGACGUCAAGACUAGAGUGUGAGAGAGGGUUGUGGAAUUCCCAGUGUAGAGGUGAAAUUCGUAGAUAUUGGGAAGAACACCGGUGGCGAAGGCGGCAACCUGGCUCAUUACUGACGCUGAGGCGCGAAAGCGUGGGGAGCAAACAGGAUUAGAUACCCCCGUAGUCCCUGUCUCUUAUAC